rnacentral:rRNA from 1 species
AUUGAACGCUGGCGGCAUGCCUUACACAUGCAAGUCGAACGGCAGCGGGGGAGAAGCUUGCUUUUCCUGCCGGCGAGUGGCGAACGGGUGAGUAAUACAUCGGAACGUGCCCUGUAGUGGGGGAUAACUAGUCGAAAGAUUAGCUAAUACCGCAUACGACCUGAGGGUGAAAGUGGGGGACCGCAAGGCCUCAUGCUAUAGGAGCGGCCGAUGUCUGAUUAGCUAGUUGGUGGGGUAAAGGCCUACCAAGGCGACGAUCAGUAGCUGGGCUGAGAGUCCGAUCAGCCACACUGGGACUGAGACACGGCCCAGACUCCUACGGGAGGCAGCAGUGGGGAAUUUUGGACAAUGGGCGAAAGCCUGAUCCAGCAAUGCCGCGUGUGUGAAGAAGGCCUUCGGGUUGUAAAGCACUUUUGUCCGGAAAGAAAUGGCUCUGGUUAAUACCUGGGGUCGAUGACGGUACCGGAAGAAUAAGGACCGGCUAACUACGUGCCAGCCGCCGCGGUAA